rnacentral:rRNA from 1 species
UACGGGAGGCAGCAGUGGGGAAUAUUGCACAAUGGGCGCAAGCCUGAUGCAGCCAUGCCGCGUGUAUGAAGAAGGCCUUCGGGUUGUAAAGUACUUUCAGUCGUGAGGAAGGUGUUAAGGUUAAUAACCUUAGCAAUUGACGUUAGCGACAGAAGAAGCACCGGCUAACUCCGUGCCAGCAGCCGCGGUAAUACGGAGGGUGCGAGCGUUAAUCGGAAUUACUGGGCGUAAGGGCACGCAGGCGGUUAAUUAAGUUGGAUGUGAAAUCCCCGGGCGUUAACCUGGGAAUGGCAUUCAAGACUGGUUAGCUAGAGUCUUGUAGAGGGGGUAGGAAUUCCAUGUGUAGCGGUGAAAUGCGUAGAGAUGUGGAGGAAUACCGGUGGCGAAGGCGGCCCCUGGCAAAGACUGACGCUCAUGUGCGAAAGCGUGGGGAGCAAACAGGGAUUAGAUACC